GCCCGCCUAGCUCAAUCGGAUAGAGCGUCAGACUUUUACGUUUGUAAUAGGCGGAUGAAUCUGAAGGCUGCGAGUUCGACCCUCGCGGUGGGCU
rnacentral:tRNA from 1 species